rnacentral:hammerhead_ribozyme from 1 species
CUACUUCUGAAGAGUCCCAAACUAGGACGAAAGAGCUGUCCACUAG